GACGAACGCUGGCGGCGUGCUUAACACAUGCAAGUCGAACGGAAAGGCCCUGCUUUUGUGGGGUGCUCGAGUGGCGAACGGGUGAGUAACACGUGAGUAACCUGCCCUUGACUUUGGGAUAACUUCAGGAAACUGGGGCUAAUACCGGAUAGGAGCUCCUGCUGCAUGGUGGGGGUUGGAAAGUUUCGGCGGUUGGGGAUGGACUCGCGGCUUAUCAGCUUGUUGGUGGGGUAGUGGCUUACCAAGGCUUUGACGGGUAGCCGGCCUGAGAGGGUGACCGGCCACAUUGGGACUGAGAUACGGCCCAGACUCCUACGGGAGGCAGCAGUGGGGAAUAUUGCACAAUGGGCGGAAGCCUGAUGCAGCAACGCCGCGUGCGGGAUGACGGCCUUCGGGUUGUAAACCGCUUUCGCCUGUGACGAAGCGUGAGUGACGGUAAUCGGUAAAGAAGCACCCGCUAACUACGUG
rnacentral:rRNA from 1 species